rnacentral:rRNA from 2 species
UACGUAGGGGGCAAGCGUUAUCCGGAUUUACUGGGUGUAAAGGGAGCGUAGACGGUGUGGUAAGUCAGAUGUGAAAGCCCGGGGCUCAACCCCGGGACUGCAUUUGAAACUAUCAUGCUAGAGUGCAGGAGAGGUAAGUGGAAUUCCUAGUGUAGCGGUGAAAUGCGUAGAUAUUAGGAGGAACACCAGUGGCGAAGGCGGCUUACUGGACUGUAACUGACGUUGAGGCUCGAAAGCGUGGGGAGCAAACAGG